GAAAUGCGAUAAGUAAUGUGAAUUGCAGAAUUCAGUGAAUCAUCGAAUCUUUGAAGGCACCUUGCGCUCCUUGGUAUUCCUUGGAGCAUGCCUGUUUGAGUAUCAUGAAAUCUUCAAAGUAAAUCUUUUGUUAACUCAAUUGGUUUCUACUUUGGUAUUGGAGGUCUUUGCAGCUUCACACCUGCUCCUCUUUGUUCAUUAGCUGGAUCUCAGUGUUAUGCUUGGUUCCACUCGGCGUGAUAAGUUAUCUAUCGCUGAGGACACUGUAAAAGGUGGCCAAGGUAAAUGCAGAUGAACCGCUUCUAAUAGUCCAUUGACUUGGACAAUACUUUUAUGAUCUGAUCUCAAAUCAGGUAGGACUACCCGCUGAACUUAAGC
rnacentral:misc_RNA from 1 species